CUCCCUCAUUGGCCAAACAGUACUUUAUUUAUCAUCUAAUAAGACAAACACACAGAAGCACUUCCCCCAUCAGGUUCCAUUGCCAGAGGCCCAAUAGACUGCUCAAGCCCUGAAACUGACACUCACAUUCCGGGGGCCUGGUUCAGUCUUAUGUUGUUUCCCCAGGAGUUCAGCUCAGUGCUUAGCUGUGGGUGUCUGCUUCUGCUUCCAUCAGCUACUGGAUGAAAGCUCUAGGAUGGCAUUUAAGGAAGUCAUCAAUCUCAUUACAGGGGAAGGGCAUUGAAGGUCGCCCUCAUAUAGUGGCUGCUGCCUGUGCUAUUGGUUGCCUCCUAGAACUUGCAUAGAAGACCCUGCUGCUGAAGACACCACACCCUUCAGAUACAGUACUUGAAGGAAUCCAGCUGAAACCUGGAGUGCAUGUUUAUUUAUGAUUUUCUUCAACAAAUAGUAUUAAAUAAAAAGCAAGUUUGCAAACAGUGCUGUGAUUUGAAUGUGAAACAUUUGCAUAGGCUCACAUUUGGUCCUCCAGAUGGUAGCAAUGUUUGAAAAUGUUGUGGAACAUUUAGGGUGUGGGGCCUUGCUGAGAGAAGCAGAUCGAUCAUUGAAGGCAGGCCUUGAGGCUUUCUAGCCUGCCCAUGAUUCCUAUUCACCCUGUGCUUCCUGGGUAUGAAUGUGAUACAACCAGGCAGCCUCCUGCCUCUGCCACUGUGAUGUGACCGUCUGUGCCAUUGUCUUCCCUGAUGUGGCAGACUACAUCUCUGAGGAACUAUAAGCCAAAAUAAACAGGUUUUCUUUUUAAAAAGGAAAGAACAAAAUAAAAGAAAAUCAAGAAUACAGAUGAAAGAACUCUAUCCACAGUUAGGCAGAAACUAUAGAAAUUAAAAUAUAAGAACUCUUAAAGAGCAACCAAAACUCACCCUGCUGGCUUAGCUGGGUCAACAAGAGAAGCUGAACAUUAAUAACAGAAGCCAAAAGGUGUAAAAUGAUGUCAUCAAUAGUACAAAAUAAAGUGAAAAUCAAGCUAGCAUGUGAGCUACCUGGAAGUAUGUUGUAAAACUGAGGGAGAAAUAGAAGGAUAACCAGAAUGGCAAAAUACGUUCUCCCAAAACUCUGCUCCCCCAUAGAACACUGAGAAGAUAGGCUAUGAAUAUGGUCAAAACUCAAGGUCUUUAGAAAUCUGCAAAUUAACCAAAUGCUGAAAGUAACCCUCUGGUAGUGAGUGACAGACCAAAGUUCAAAAUCUAACCCAUGGCUUCUGUUCUUUACCAACCCCCCAUCACAUGUCUUUCAAUGUGUGCUGGCGAUGACAUAAUCACUAAUGCAUUUGUUAAAUGUUCUAAUUCCCAGGCUCUAGUUAAAUCUCUGGGAUUGGAAUAACUAGGGAGAAUAAUAUAAAUAUAAAUUUCAGUCUGCUUGCUUCUCAAACAACAAUGGGAUGAGGAAUCAUCAAGACCCUGGCUAAAGGGUCAGGUAGACUGGUGCCUGGGAUUUCAUGUCUCUGAAAGUCCCACAAUGCUGCAAGUGCCCUAAGUGGUUAAUAUAAAUGCAAAGAAGUCUGUGCAUCAGUAGUAUGAGCAGGAUAUUACCUACAGCUAAAUAUUCAUUGUUUUCCAGACAAUGACAAAUAACUUUUCACAAAAUUACAAAAAUGUUUUGAUAAAUUUUCACUGUUGACUUUAUCCUAAAUCUUUAUAUCCCCAAAGGAUACUGUUGGGUUGACAGGGUGUUUAUAAUUCAUAGAAACUUCAUGAACCAGAAGUUCAUAGUAUUUUAUCCACAUCACAUUUGCAAUCAGCCCCUAAAUUCUUACCUAGU
ensembl:lncRNA